GUAUAUAUAAUUUAAACAAAAUACUAGGCCGUGACCCUAAUAAUGAAAGUUUAACCCUUUCUAUAAACC
rnacentral:tRNA from 2 species